rnacentral:rRNA from 1 species
UGGGGAAUAUUGGACAAUGGGCGCAAGCCUGAUCCAGCCAUGCCGCGUGAGUGAUGAAGGUCUUAGGAUUGUAAAGCUCUUUCACCGGGGACGAUAAUGACGGUACCCGGAGAAGAAGCCCCGGCUAACUUCGUGCCAGCAGCCGCGGUAAUACGAAGGGGGCUAGCGUUGUUCGGAAUUACUGGGCGUAAAGCGCACGUAGGCGGACAUUUAAGUCAGGGGUGAAAUCCCGGGGCUCAACCCCGGAACUGCCUUUGAUACUGGGUGUCUUGAGUGUGGUAGAGGUGAGUGGAAUUGCGAGUGUAGAGGUGAAAUUCGUAGAUAUUCGCAGGAACACCAGUGGCGAAGGCGGCUCACUGGACCACAACUGACGCUGAGGUGCGAAAGCGUGGGGAGCAAAC